GCAUGUAAAGUCACCGUCCAUCAUGGACACAACUCCUCUAUCCACCAUUUGAUCUAGAUAAAGAAAUUCAAACAUGGGUCCCACUUUCUAUUUUUCUUUGCGUUGGUGCUUGUGAAUGUGAUUAGGGAACUAAUGCGGGACGAACACCAUAUAUGCUAUGCGGGACGAACACCAUAUAUGCUAUGCGUGAUUUCAUUAUAAUUCAGAAUUUUUUAUGAUAUGGCAUGUAUUGAAUCUCAGACUUUUUUUUGGUCUC
rnacentral:lncRNA from 1 species